GAGCUCCAUGGCUCCUCGGGCUGCUACUGCGGUCAGCCGCGUUCCCCACCCCUCCUGGUGCUCAGUGACCGACAGCAUAGCCGAUCUCUGCCUGUUGGUGGUGUCCCGUGUCUCGAGAACGGUUUGCGCAGCGUCCAUGCGUUCGGGGCUGUGUGUGAGCAGCGGGAAGCAGCAACGCAGUCACUAGGACUGCGCGACCCUUGCGGGAAAUCCGCUGAUCGCUUUCUCUGACCAGAAAGAGAAACUGGGAGAGCAGCUCACGCAUGCGCACUGCGGCACCGCCAUCCGGCCGCCCGUGCUUCAAAACGUGGGGUGCAGCYACGCGCGCAGUGCGCUCUUGUAAUCGCUACCGCACGCUCUGCAGGAAUACGGCGCUGGCUGGCAAAGUUGUUAUGUCGCAAUGGAGACUCUUAGGCGAGACGGAGGAGUUGAGAUCCGCAGCCCACCAAAAGAACAUCGCCCAGGAGGGGAUGCUAGCCUUGAACUAUAGGUGCUGGUGUUCAGAACCUCGGGGAACGACUAUAUGCUGUGGGAAGAACUACAGGCUACCACCACCCUCGGAUCUUUGUAAGUUAUCAUGCGUCGAGAGCGGCCUGGAGAAUCCAAAUGGCGGCGGAAAGGUUCUCUGCCUGGUCUUGACGAGGAGCCUUCGGCCGCGGGAAGGAUGCUGUUCUGAGGGCCGGCAACUCGAAGAGGAGCAGCUCAGCCUGUUUUGUUGA
rnacentral:lncRNA from 1 species